UCUGGAUCCUUACCAAGGUAGUGAUGGUAUAUGCCUUCUCUCAAUAAGUAUGUGGUAUUUGUGGUAUAAGGCAUAGUGACAUUGCCUUCUUCCUCACCCUGCUCUAAUAAGGCUUUAAUAUCUGGAGCUCAUAGGUGGGAGAUAUAGUAUACAUACUUACAAGACAAGUAUUGCAUAGUCAAACCAUGGAUCCAAAGAAACAAGUCAAUAAGUUUAAUCAAGAUGUGCAUGUGUGGCGAAUGAAUGGUGUAUGGUGAUGAUGGUGGUAACAAUGGUGGAAGUAUAAUUCUACUUUGCUCUUUGAGGGGAUACAUACCUUCCUUGCUUUUUGAAACUUUAUGAAAGGAGAAUGAGAUGCUCUAUAUUUUUCUUUUCUCUCAGGUGGGUAUCUUGUACCCCUAAUUCUACUGUCGGACACUUGUCCAUUUUUACCUCUCGUCUCACUUUUUCUUUUCUUUCGAGGUUCCGAGCACUUGCUCCUUUUUAUUUCCUCGUAUCUCUCUCUUUUUUUAGAGCACUCAUCUCUUGAGAUAAUAUAGCAAGUGGUAGUAACAAGAUAACUUGAGCAUUUAUUUCACAAGGGAAAAACAGAAAUAUUUUUGGUUAUUCCCUCCCGGAUUAGGAGUAGAAUAUUUUUUUGGUGGUUCUGGAGAUGGAAAUGGAUGGAUAUAUGUGGAUGGUACUUCCGGAGUAGAAGUAGCAUGUAUGAGUGAACGUGCAAGUGAAAUCUUGAUUUAACCAGAUGACAAGCUCCUAGGGGUCUACACAGCUUGACCACACUCAAUGCUCAUAAGCAGUAAAUAGUAAAUGUGUGGCUCAAAGUCUAGCAAGCAUGUAUAUAUGGCUGUGGUAGGAAUUUAAACUCUCAUCAUAUAGGAACUCAUCAUGCAACAUUUUAAAGAUUUUCAAAGAUAAAAUUCUCCAUAAUUCUAGCAUCUCUAGGAAUAGAUAAACAGCAGCCCAACCUUCCCAUAUCGUAUCCGUUAACAACUUAGACUUCAAAUCAAGUUUUCAUCCCACAAGUUUAGGUCUAGAGCAAGCUUUAAAUUAUAACAGUUGUUGACACCGUUUUUGGGCACGUGUCUAGGAUGGCAGGAUAAGGUGGCAGUACGAUGUUUACAAAGUGGGUUGCCGAUGAGGAUGGUUGCUGAUGAGGGAGAAGUUGAACGUGACUAAGUCCACAGGCAGUAAUAUGGUGCCGAUGGCUAGAUAAGAAAGUCUGCCGAUGACUAUGGCAAAGGGUCUGCCGAUGAUGCAAAGAGGGAGUCCGGAAGCUGCCGGUCGUUAUGUGGAGGAGUUUCGGUUUGUCACGAGGGAUAGUUUUGUUAUUUCCUUAAUUAUUUGCAUCGUUUUGUAUACGGAUUCCGUGUAAUUUGGAAUUCGAAUUCUAAUCGUGUCUGGUCGUAGCUCUUUGAGCAGGGUAUAAAUAUAGACCCUAGGGCCUUGUAAUAAAAAAUCAAUCAAUGAAUCAAACACACGUUUUUACUCAUAUUCCAGCAUUUACUUUUCGACGACUUCGUCAUACUUUUUCUUUUUGUUACGAGUUCUUAGGAAUUCGUCGACUUAAGCUCGGCGUGUUCUCAAGUUCCGUGUGAGUACCUCUUAGCCGUGACAUCCGGGCGCAUCGCUGUUGUCAGGACUAAAGUAUUCGAGUUAUCACCUUUGCCGAUAGCAAGGUCAAAUCGGCUGGCACGCCUUAACAUUUGAAUCGGGUAUUAGCCCUUUGUGUUUGCAGACCAGUUUUGCAUCAACACAUCUUUUGGCACGCCCAGUGGGACAGGAUUCAAGAUCAAGAUCAACAUGUCGAUCUCUGACCUCGAUCAAGAGAACGUCAUCCCCGUGACGGAGGCCAACCUCAAGGAUGAGCAGAAGCAAGCUUUUGCCCAAGCCAUGGAAGAGUUCAAGCAGCAAUGCCUGAGGUCUUUCAGCAUAAACAGGAGCGGCGAAGUGGUCCAGAAAGAUGCACUGCCGGCACCACGGCAGGUUACCUUUGACGCCAAUCCUGGCAAGCUUCAAGAUAUGGUUGACAAUGCCAUCAAUCGAGCGUUGAUUAACCAAGCUGGUGUACUGUCUAAUACGGUUUUCAAUGCCGUGGCAAGAACUUUCAAGGAAGGACAAAUCCCACCAGAUUAUGUGGGCCCCUCCCAUCAUCAGCCAACGGCACCAGAGGUCACGGCUCCAUCGGCUGCCUUGACGACUGCAAGUGCACAAUCUGCCGUCCCUCCAAGUACAUCAGGGACUACUGGCGCACUAUCUAUGCCGAUGACAACCAACCCACAAAUUUCAGUUGGGCAGCAUAAACUGACAACAGAUAUGUUGGCAUCGGCAAUGUCAGGGUUGACUCUUCCUCCCAACUGGUGGGGUUACGGUAUGCCUCCAGAGUUGACACCGGGAACAUCACAAAUAACUGACAUGAGGGGCAAAACUCCUAUGACAUCGGCACCUCCCAAUGCGCCGGUGAACCAGAGUCCUCGGUAUACCACAACUACUACUGCAAGGCCUCACACUGGAAAUCCUCAAGAUUCAAUGUUCCAGAUGCCCAACGCAUCGGCAGAGUCAAUGCUGAUGCAACAGAGGUCUAUGGCCCAGUCGGGGUAUGUCAAUUCAACGACAGUACCCAAUUACCAAUCAUCGGCAGCACCUAUGCCGAUGAACGCUAAUAAUGGAUGGCUUGGACAGCAAGCCUUUCCACAAUCGCCCCAGCAGAGUUACCAGACUACAGGGUUCCAGCAAGGGCAGGUCUAUCCCGGGUUCCAAGGUCAGGGGAUUCCCAACCAGCCAAUGAAUUUUGGACAGCAACUCGGGGGACAGCCAAUCGGUGGACAGCAGUUUGGUGGUCCGCAGAUUGGAGGACAGGUGAUCAAUACAAUGUUCCGUGCAGAUCACGUCCCGAACAGACACGUGGAGGUUCGCCACCAAGUGCCAGAUCCGCAGCCGCCUCAUCGGCAAGAUGCCGAUGCAUAUUGGGCCGAUAAGAUUGCUGAAGUAAUGAGGGAACAAUUUGGGAUAAAACCCAAAGUCAACACUUAUUCUUAUCGGACACCGUAUCCUCCCGCGUAUGAUUUGAUCCCGCUUCCACAUCGGUACAAGGUACCGGAUUUUACAAAGUUUUCCGGGCAGGACGACACGUCAACCAUGGAGCAUGUCAACAGGUUCAUCAUUCAAUGUGGAGAGGCUGGUAACAGGGACGAAUUGAGGGUUCGUCUAUUUUCAUCAUCAUUGUCUGGAUCGGCCUUUACUUGGUUCAUAUCAUUACCUCCCAACUCAGUAAUUACUUGGGCCUAUCUAGAGAAGCAAUUCCACAAAUACUUCUUCUCGGGGGUUCAUGAGAAGAAGAUCACCGACUUGGUCAAGUUGAGGCAACGUAAUGAUGAGUCGGUUGAGGGUUUUGUGCAGAGGAUACGAGAGGUCAAGAAUAAAUGCUAUAGCUUGGUUCUGGAUGAUCGGCAGCUAGCCGAUUUGGCUUUCCAGGGUUUGUUGCCACAUAUCAGGGAUAAGUAUGCCUCUCAGGAGUUCGAAAGUUUAAGUCAUUUGGUGCAGAGGAUUUCUGAUCAAGACAUCAAGCCUUUCGAGCCUAAAAGAGCAUGGAAUAGGAAAGUGUCAUUUGUCGAUGAAGCAACAAGCUCAGAUUCUGAUGAAGAACCAGUAAUCGGCUUGGCAGAGUGGGUAAAAAACAAGAAGCCGAUGUCUUGUCCUUUUGGGCAGAAGGAACCAGAGAAGUUUUCUUUUGACACCGCUAAGGCUGAUAGGAUAUUUGACUUUCUACUUCAGGAAGGUCAGAUCAAACUGUCACCUAACCAUGUGAUCCCAUCGGCAGAAGAGUUGAAGAGGAUGAGAUAUUGCAAGUGGCAUAAUGCAACUUCCCAUGACACCAACGAGUGCAAAGUAUUCAGACAGCAGCUGCAAUCGGCUAUAGAGUCAGGGAGAAUCAAGUUUGACAGUUCCAAAGCCCAGAAGCCGAUGAAGAUAGACCAACAUCCUUUCCCGACAAACAUGUUGGAUGCUAAGGGGAAGGCUAAGGUCUUAACAUCGGAGACAGCUGAGAAGAGUGCAUCGGUAGAUCCUCAGCAUCAAGUUACUACUGCCGAUGCAAGAAGUAAGGGCUUGGUCCAGGAAGGAACUAGCUCAGGAAGGCCUCCUCGGUCUGGUAUCGUCAUAACUCAUAGAAGGCCUCGAGAAAAUUGGCAACAACGGGAAGAUCGGUAUCGGCGCCAGCAGGAAGAUUAUCGACGGGAAGAAGAAAGACGCCGACAGGAGUGGAAUCGGCACAGGGAUCAUUGGAAUUGUCCAUUCUUCAUCCAUUGUUGGGAGGAAAAUAUCAAGCUUCCUACUGUCAGAGACUGCCCUGAGUGCAACGGUUAUGAUCGGUACGAUGGGAUCGAUCGGCAUUAUCAUGAUGAUGAACGGCGAUUUAAUGGGCCGAUCAGAGGAAGGGUGUCAGUUCAUGACCGGCUGGGGGGCAGAUUUAGUGGGCACGACAGACUUAGUGACCGUGUCCAGUAUUUUCCCAGGAACCAAGAAGAGCUCGAGGAAAUGGCUGAUGCGCGGGUUCCUGAUGAAUUCAUAUUUUGCAGGGAUGCUAACACACAUCGUAUGGAGUCAAGGGAGAACCGACGCCCGACGGCAAGGCAAAGGCCACUUCCUCCAUGGUGCCCUGGAGGAUUAACCAAGACACAGAAAAGGAGAUUGCAACGUGAAAGGCAAGAAGAGCUAAACAAGGGAGAGAACUCUGGAAGUCGGCAGCCGUCAGACACUAAGAGGGAAGGUCCAUCGGCAGGCGUCAACAUGGUCUUCAUGUUGCCGAUGGAGUUUCUUGCACCAGCCAGUGAUGAUGAGUUGGAAUUUUCUGAUCAGAUAGCUCAGUUGGCUCUGGAUCCGAUGAUGGCUAUCUUUGAGAAACCUACCGAUGACGAGAGGCAGCAUCUUAAAGCUCUGUUCCUCAAAGGAAGGGUUGAUGGGCAGCCAAUGACCAAGAUCCUAGUUGAUGGUGGAGCUGCUAUUAAUAUUAUGCCAUAUGCAGUAUAUCGGAAGCUUGGGAAAGGGGAUCAAGAUUUGACCAAGACCGAUAUGAUGCUCAAAGACUUUGAAGGAAACGUGUCUCCAGUCAAGGGGGCGAUAUGUGCAGAGUUGACCAUCGGCAGCAAAACCUUGCCGACAACUUUUUUCGUGAUCAGCGAAAAAGGUGCUUACAACUUAUUAUUGGGAAGAGAUUGGAUUCAUGCCAAUUGUUGUAUCCCAUCUACAAUGCAUCAAUGCUUGGUUCAGUGGGUAGGUGACAAGAUUGAGAUUGUCCCAGGAGAUUCUUCUUAUGUUAUCGCAUCGGCAGAAGCGGAUACUUACGAAAGGACCAGGUGCAUUUCAGGAGAAGUUUGGGAGAAAGAUUUUCUCAAAGUUGUCGAUUAUGAGAUUCCACCGAUCCAAGCAGUCGGUUCUGAUGACGGUUUUUAAUGGAUAGAUUCGCCGAUGAUGGAAAAUUAGGCCAGGGAUUCACAUCGGCCGAUGAUUUGGUAGAAGUAGAUAUAGGUAGUGGUGAUAAGCCUAGGCCUACUUUUAUUAGUGCUAAAUUAGAUCCUGAGAGUAAGCAACAAUUGACUAGUUUGUUAAAGGAAUAUAAAGAUUGCUUUGCUUGGGAUUAUACCGAGAUGCCUGGUUUAGACCGAUCAAUUGUUGAACAUCGGUUACCCAUCAAGUCUGGAUUUCGGCCACAUCAGCAACCAGCCCGCCGAUGUAAUCCUAACAUUCUACCUGAUAUUAAGGCCGAAAUCACCAAACUUAUUGAAGCUAAGUUUAUUCGGCAGUGUCGGUAUGCCGAGUGGAUUUCCAAUGUUGUUCCGGUUUACAAGAAGAACGGGAAGCUUCGGGUGUGCAUUGAUUUCAGGAAUCUCAAUAAAGCUACGCCGAUGGAUGGAUACCCAAUGCCUGUCGCCGAUCUACUGGUUGAUGCUGCGGCUGGUCAUCAGGUCAUCAGCUUCAUGGAUGGUAAUGCAGGUUACAAUCAAAUAUUCAUGGCGGAGGAGGAUAUUCCGAAAACCGCAUUCAGGUGUCCUGGUCAUGUUGGGCUAUUGGAAUGGAUAGUCAUGACUUUUGGGUUGAAGAAUGCUGGUGCUACUUAUCAAAGGGCUAUGAAUUUUAUAUUUCAUGAGUUCAUCGGCAAGCUCGUGGAGAUUUAUAUUGAUGAUGUGGUGGUUAAGUCUGGAGAUUUCUCAAAGCAUCUUGCCGAUUUACAAAAAGUGUUAGAGUGCACAAGGAAGCAUGGAUUGAAGAUGAAUCCCAACAAGUGUGCAUUUGGUGUAUCGGCAGGGCAGUUUCUUGGUUUCAUGGUACAUCAGAGGGGUAUUGAAAUUAGUCGAAGAUCUAUUGAUGCCAUCAAUAAAAUAGUGGCCCCUACCAACAAAACCGAGCUUCAAUCCUUGAUCGGCAAGGUAAAUUUUAUCAGGAGAUUUAUAUCAAAUUUGUCUGGUAGGAUUCGUGCUUUCAGUCCUCUUCUUAAAUUGAAAGCCGAUCAAGAGUUUAUUUGGGGAGAAGAACAGCAGUUGGCUCUGGAUGAAAUCAAGAAGUAUCUAGUAAAUCCUCCAGUUCUAGUUCCACCUCAACAAGGGAAGCCCUUCAGAUUGUAUUUAUCUACCGAUGGAUCGGUUAUCGGUUCAGCUUUAGUUCAAGAAUUUGAAGGGAAAGAAAGGGUAAUUUAUUAUUUGAGUAGGAGGUUGAUUGAUGCUGAAACCAGGUAUUCGGCCAUUGAGAAACUAUGCUUAUGCCUAUAUUUUUCAUGUAUCAAGCUGAGACAUUACCUGUUAUCGGCCGAAUGCACUGUUGUUUGCAAAGAUGACGUGGUCCGAUACAUGCUAUCUAUGCCGAUUAUGAGUGGUAGGAUCGGUAAAUGGAUUUUAGCGCUGUCGGAGUUCGAUUUGCGUUACGAAUCGGCUAAGGCAGUCAAAGGGCAGAUUAUGGCCGAUUUUGUGAGUCAGCAUUGCGGUCUAGUGGAAACCUUGGAAAUUGUACCCUGGACGCUCUUCUUUGAUGGAUCUACCUGUGACCGGGGGGCAGGAAUCGACAUUGUAUUAGUUUCCCCUAAGGGGAGGAAGUAUGAGUUUUCCUUGCCGAUUGUUGCCACAUCAACAAAUAAUCAGGCUGAGUAUCAGGCUCUGAUCAAGGGAUUGGAGUUGUUAAGAGAAGUUCGUGCUGAUGCUGUUGAAAUAUUCGGGGAUUCUAUGUUGGUUAUAAAUCAAUUGGCCGGAAGCUAUGAAUGCCGAAGUGAAGUUCUCAUAACUUAUUUCGAGAGAAGUAUGCAACUGUUAAAGGAAUUCAAGGAUUUCCGAUUGGAGCAUGUUCCCCGAUUGCAUAAUGAAGACGCUAAUCGGUUAGCUCAGCAUGCCUCGGGAUAUCAGCCAAUGAUUAAUGCGACAUCGGCAGUCGGUGCCGGUGAUUGGAGGAAAGAAAUUAUUGAUUAUCUAAAAGAUCCAUCCAAAAAAGUUGAAAGACGGGUUCGAUUUCAAGCAACCAAGUAUGUGCUCCUUGAAAAUGAAUUGUAUUAUCGAACUAUCGACGGAAUUCUUCUCCGAUGCUUGGGUGAUGAUGAAGCUAGAAGUUUGAUGGGGGAAAUCCAUGAAGGAGUGUGUGGAGCGCAUCAGUCAGCUUUUAAGAUGAAGUGGAUGAUUCGAAGGAAUGGAUAUUUUUGGCCAACCAUACUUGAAGAUUGUUUUAAAUAUUUCAAGGGAUGUCAAGGUUGUCAAAAGUUUGGUAAUAUCCAGAGAGCACCCGCAUCGGCUAUGAAUCCUAUAAUAAAGCCUUGGCCAUUCCGGGGAUGGGCCAUCGAUCUGAUCGGCCAGAUUUAUCCACCAUCUAGCAAAGGGCAUAAGUUCAUUCUAGUUGCCACUGACUAUUUCACUAAGUGGGUUGAAGCUAUUCCUUUGAAGAAAGUCACAUCGGCCAAUAUGAUUGAUUUUGUGAAGGAGCAUAUUAUUUACCGAUUUGGGAUUCCCCAAACGAUUACUACCGAUCAGGGCACCAUGUUCACAUCGGGGGAGUUCGAUGAAUUCGCAAUCGGUAUGGGAAUUAAAGUGUUGAAUUCUUCUCCUUAUUAUGCUCAAGCCAAUGGGCAGGCCGAAGCGUCUAACAAAGGAAUUAUCAAGCUUAUUAAACGAAAGAUUGAAGAAAAUCCUAAGCGGUGGCAUACAUUAUUAAAUGAAGCAUUGUGGUCUUAUCGGAUGGCUUGUCAUGGAUCGACCAAAGUAUCACCCUAUCAAUUGGUGUAUGGACAUGAUGCAGUGUUGCCUUGGGAAAUUAAGGCUGGAUCUAGGCGAUUAUCUUUUCAAGAUCAAUUAACUUCCGAUGGUUAUGCCACUUUGAUGACCGAUGAAUUGGACGAUCUAGCAGGGCAUCGGUUAAAAGCUUUAAUGAGUAUAGAAGAAAAUAAGAAGAGAGUUGCUAGAUGGUAUGAUAAGAAAGUGAAGGCUAAAGAGUUUGCCGAUGGGGAUUUGGUAUGGAAAUUAAUUUUACCAAUUGGGACCAAAAGUUCGAAGUUUGGAAAGUGGUCUCCUAAUUGGGAGGGUCCUUAUCGGAUAAGUCGAUCGGCUCCUGGUAAUGCCUACAUUCUAGAAACCCUCGAAGGAAUUGAAUUUCCCAGAGCAUUAAACGGCAAAUAUUUAAAGAAGUACUACCCCAGUAUAUGGGUCGAUGCAUAGAAGUUUAGGUACCGAUAACACUCCUAUCGGCUGGAUCCAAAUAUGCUUGGGGACAAGACUUGGUGUUUCAAAAGUUUAGGUGCCGAUAACAGUCCUAUCGGCUAGACUAAAAGCUGAGGAAGCAGGAAAGCGCAGAUACAAUGCCGAUGGAAACUCUAUGUGUUAAGCAGCGUCUGGAUUUCCGAUAUAGCGCGUAGCCGAAUUUGGUUGGCUGCUUCUAUCUCCUUGAUGUCAUCAUCGGCAGAACCUUCUAUCGGCUUCAGCUUCUUCUUCAGUUGAAGUGCCUUGCGACCAUGAGCAUUUCGCUCGUGCUCAAGAAGCCUCAUGGUCUCUGGCAAUUGGCUCUCUUCCUGUUGGGCUUGGGACAGAGCGUUCUCUACUUCCUUGAGCUCCGCCAACAGGGAUUCUUUUCUUGCCGAUAGAUCGGAUAUCUUCUGCUUCAGCGCGUCUCCAGAAGAUCUCAGGAUACCGAUGUUCUUGUGUUUCUCAUCGGUCAAAAGCUUCUCUUUCCUCAUUUCAUCGGAGAGUUGAGUCUGAGCGGCUCUAUCGGCAAGCCGCCGAGAAGCUCUUUGGUACUGCAGCUGGCGACUCUCCAGAUGAGCCGCUUGGAACAGGAUUUCUUCAACAUCGGCUGGGAUUUGGCCUCUGAGAGUUCUGAACAGGGUCUUGGUAGGGUCGGAAUCAUCAACCAAUUGCGCUGUGUCCUGGUGAAGGAGAGCUGACAAUUCUUCCAGCCUGACCCUGAUCUCUGCCGAUGUGAUGCCGACCGUCUGAGAAGAGCUUGCUUCUUCACCUUCUUCUUUAGAGAGAUCGAUGGCGCAGGAGAACAGGCUAUCGGGAGAAUCUUGUUCCUAGGAGGGAAAGCAAAAUUAGCUCAUACUCAGAGAAUCGGCAAAUAGUGCUAACGGUAAACGGUGACUUACUUGCUUCAAGGCGAUCUCUUGUCUUUGACUGAGAAGUGCUGACGGAGCUGCAGGCUGAUCGGCCAAAGAUGCCGAUGGAGCUACAGGUUGAUCGGCUGAGAUUGCCGAUGGAACGAUAUCAACUGAAAGAAGACAAAAGGAGUUAUGAGACUAAAUAAGAAUAAGUUCAUCGGUAGCGAUAUUGUUAAAGUAUGUUACCUGGAGGAGGGACAACGGUUGUCUGAAUUGGGAGAACUGCCGAUGGUAUAACUGGACCCACUGGGCCAGUUGUUUGUUCACCCAUGUCAGCUGAUGUAUCUUCUGUUUGAGAUCCUUCCUGUUGGGGUUCUUCUAUCUGUGGUGCUUCCUGCAUAGGUGGGGGGGAUGGUGCUUGCUGUGGCUGGGCUUCUGGAGAAGAAGGAGAAUACUCCACCGGAAUUGGAGAUACCGGAGGAGGAGGGGGAGUUGCUACCUUCUGGCGCUUUGUUCCAGUCUUAGCACCCGUGGUGCCCUUUCUCUUGGGUUGGCUAGACUGGGGGGCAUCGGUACUCUCACACCUGGCUUUCGCCGAUGCGCGGUUUGCUGCAAUAAUGAACAAGAGUUUAUAAGCAUAAAUAUAGCCGAUAUAAAGAUAGUCAGCAUAAAGGAAAAGAUUUGACAAAUUGCCUUGAAAGCCCGCGCAAGAGUGGGAGCAGCAACCGUUGGUGAUGUCUGGGUUCUUCUGGUGGUGACUUUCCUGAGGCGUACACCCCGAUGCACGAUGGAAGCUAGAGUGGGAGCAUUGUGGCCGAUUGAGGAAAUCGGGCCUGAUGGAAACAAGUCGAUCGGCCUGCCACUCCUGCUAACCAAUGGAGGAAUAUUGUCAACCUGCAAAAGGAAUACAAGGGUAAGCUGCCGAUGGAGGUAAUAUUGAGAAAAUGAAACGUUGGUUUGAGUUACUUACAGUGUCAUCGGGAACUUCGUAUUCGGAGUCAAUCAUGCCGCGGUAUGAAAGUGCCGAUCUGCAGAAUAGAUGCUCUUUCCAUUCUGCCCACCAUAACUUGUAUGCCUGAGUGAUAAAAGCAGCCGGAACCCAUUCUGACAGAUCUACAUCUAUAUCGGCGUUUGGUGGUAGUUGGGCUGCUCGAGUCCACUCAAGAAGGUUGUUGAUAGUUUCUCUGGGUUUUAUCACAUCGGCAUAAGGAAGUGCAAUCGGCAACUGGCCGAAAGCUAACUGGCGAGCUAAUGCCGAUGGAUUGUAAAAUUCGUAAGUUUGAGGGGAGGUUUUUGUGCUACCAAAGAAAUUCACUGGAAUGAUUCUGGGAGUCACAAUUGCCAUCAUCACCUCAUUGUCCCUGUCGAGAGCUUCAUCAAAUGGAUUGAAGGUCAGAGGGAGCAUGCUAUCUGGGUCAUCAUAAGCCAACCAUGGUCGUUCGUCUCUGGUCAAACCCUCAUACAGAGUCUGGAAGAAUUGGCCGAUCUGAUCUGGAUUACCCCCUGAACCAGGCAGAACUAUGACAGCUUCGCCAAAGUUCAAGGGGGCGCGUGUUGCCGAUUCCUCUUCACCCAAUACAUGGUUUUCAGCUAUAUCUCUUGGGAAACGCUGUGUGAACAGGUUGAAGUUGAGACGCUUGUGCAGAUGCAGAUUGAGCCACAUGUUGACAAACCACCAGGGGCCUCCCAAGUUGCCAGUGGAUUGGCCGAGCAGAAGUUUCUGGGCUACUUGAUGGAGAAGGUGGUAAGCAGCGCCAAGCAAGUAUCGGCCGAGAGGGAAUCGGCCACCGUUAGCCAGUCUUUCUGCUGUCGAUAGGUAGACAGAAGUCGGUCCUGCCGAUCGACCACAGAAUACAAACUUGUCCAGCCACAUGUUCAGAAAGGUGGUUUGUUCCUUUAUGGUGACAGAUCCUUUCCCACGGUACUUCUGAAUGUACCCCGACCAACCGCCGAUAGCGCGAGUCUCCACUUUGGCACUAGGGGCAGUAUCAAAAAAGUGGGUGCUAUCGGCAGAAGAUAUAUCUAGACCAGUAAGCAUGGCUACAUCGGCAAGAGUAGGAGAAGCAGGGCCGUGGCCAAAGGCAAAAGCAUUGAGGGUGUCUGACCCAAAGUAGGAUGCAGCUAUCAGCAGUGACUCGUUCCUAUGCAUAUCGGCAAUGGACAAUCUAAUGCAUUGGGCUAGAUUCCUUUCGCCCCACUGAACUUCAUUAGAGUUGCUGACCCUCAAGAACCAGUCUUUCCACCCUACAGUUGGGCUGGGCCAAGAGCGGAAGGUGUCCUUCCACAGAUCUAAGGAAAAAUUUUCGGCUCUGAAGGGGACCCUGUUGGUUUCUGCGUUGAUAAGGUCAGUUGGAUCUGGGUCCCCUAGAGGGCCGAGGCAUUGAAGGUGUGGUUGAUCGGUGGGGAUGACAAUUUUGUUGGACAAUUCCUAGUGAUUUUGGGCGUAAAAAGAAAUACAAAGAGGAAAGAAAAGGAAGAUGUUCAGUAAAAUGAAUUGCGAGUGAACAGGGAUAUGAAGAAAAAUACAGAAGACGGGGUGGAGAUUUGACCUCAGGGACGACGAACCCGACGGCCAUCUUGCUGCGAAGGAAGCGUGUGAAGGCGCCGGAGUUGGUGAAGAGGGGUACUUGUCGGAGACCUUAGGAGUUUUUGGUGGCGCCGCCGCUGGAAAAGUAAAGUUGGGUAGUAGAAUGGUGUGAUGGGGAAGGAGUACCCAAGAAGGAACUAUUUAUAGGACAAAAAGGGCAAGGGCAAAUCCGACUUAUCUCUUUGCCGCAUCCGAGAAAUCCGAGGGUACUCAGGUGGAUAUGGUAACUGUUCGCACGGUAAUCCAGGGAUUGUGCAGGUGAUUUGACGGGAAGCGGUCAUUAUCUGAAGAUAUUUUACUGUGCGAGAUCUCCUGGUCGGUCCAUCGGCAAUAUUCUAUAACGGUCAUAUUGCCGAUGGGCGGAUAGAGGGGAAGUAACCGUUUGUGCGAAUAUCCUAGUCAGAACAUCGGCAGAUCUUUGUAACGGUAUUGUUGCCGAUGUACGACUGAGAAAAAUGCCCGUUUAGGAAGUUGGGGAUUUCGAGAAAUCUGCGGAGGAAUAGGAUCAGAGUUGUUCAGAUUGAGGUUGUCGGUUACCAGAUUAGGAGCAUUAAUUGCUGGAAAAGGCAUCAUUACUGCAGAGAAUUUCGGAGCAUUAAUAGUUUUAUACUCCGAAACUGGGGGGCAUGUGUUGACACCGUUUUUGGGCACGUGUCUAGGAUGACAGGAUAAGGUGGCAGUACGAUGUUUACAAAGUGGGUUGCCGAUGAGGAUGGUUGCCGAUGAGGGAGAAGUUGAACGUGACUAAGUCCACAGGCAGUAAUAUGGUGCCGAUGGCUAGAUAAGAAAGUCUGCCGAUGACUAUGGCAAAGGGUCAGCCGAUGAUGCAAAGAGGGAGUCCGGAAGCUGCCGGUCGUUAUGUGGAGGAGUUUCGGUAUGUCACGAGGGAUAGUUUUGUUAUUUCCUUAAUUAUUUGCAUCGUUUUGUAUACGGAUUCCGUGUAAUUUGGAAUUCGAAUUCUAAUCGUGUCUGGUUGUAGCUCUUUGAGCAGGGUAUAAAUAUAGACCCUAGGGCCUUGUAAUAAAAAAUCAAUCAAUGAAUCAAACACACGUUUUUACUCAUAUUCCAGCAUUUACUUUUCGACGACUUCGUCAUACUUUUUCUUUUUGUUACGAGUUCUUAGGAAUUCGUCGACUUAAGCUCGGCGUGUUCUCAAGUUCCGCGUGAGUACCUCUUAGCCGUGACAUCCGGGCGCAUCACUGUUGUCAGGACUAAAGUAUUCGAGUUAUCACCUUUGCCGAUAGCAAGGUCAAAUCGGCUGGCACGCCUUAACAUUUGAAUCGGGUAUUAGCCCUUUGUGUUUGCAGACCAGUUUUGCAUCAACAACAGUUAUAUCUAAACUUGAGAGAGAACUUCAAAUUUUAAAAUUUGGCAGAGCAACAAUUCAUCAUAUCCAUGCUUGAGUUUUAUUUAGAUACAGAUUAGCAUAGCCACUUUAUUUAUUUAUUAAACACACUAAGCAAAAGAUAUAUAUAUAUAUAAGCAUAAAAUCUUUAUUUGGUUUUCCAUAGUUAUAUUUUAAUAUAGUACAAGUAUAAAGAUAGAUAGAUAGAAACACUUAUCGGGAUAAAUGGGGGUGCUCUCCCCCAAGCUGAAUUUUGACGUAAUUUCUCUUGAUGUAGCUAGCAGGUGGCAGAGGUGUAUUUGAAAGUCAGCAGCAUUCUGACAGCGAUUAGAAUGUCCUCCGUCUGCUAGUCUUCUUGAUUCUUAAAUUCUGUGGAGCUCAAAUAGACAACAAAGCUUGUGGAACUGAUUAAGUGUUAGCAUAAAUAUCUAGCCUUUAUCAUGUUGAGACUCCUCAAUAAUUAUUACUCCCUGUUUUUAUAUUUUCAUUUUAUAAAGCAGAAAAGAAAUAUUUAUUUUAUUUUUAUGCCACCACAGUGAAUGUACUUAUGGGUUUUAUGCCACUCGUAUACUCACAUGGGGCUUUACUGUUUUUCACAUUUUUAUUUUCUUUUUAAGAUAGAAUGAACAUGAUUAACUAAGCAAACUAUUUUAAAUAAUUGAAAGGAAAAGGAUAACUACCAAGUUUACCUCUUGGCAAGGCGUUCGGUGCUUUUAAGUCCUCCGAACGGGACUCUCCGUUUUCUUCAAUUGUCCUGGGAUUCGUUGGGUGGCGGAGUCAGUACUUCCGGCAGCGCCUCCUCUUCAUGUAUAGUAAUCUUCUCUUUCCAUACCUAACUCGGUGCUACGGUCUCCUCUGGAUAAUUCUGUUUAAACUCUACGUCUUCUGAACUUACAACUUCUCCUUCAUAGUCUGCCCAUCCGUCCUUGAUGAUUUGCCUCCUCUGGUUGCGGUUGCGUCGUUGUCUUACCUGCUUAGAUUUUUCAACGAUAUAGUUAGGGUUAGUAAAAUAGCGGCGUACCUUCUCUGAGGGGAAGUGCAUAUGGACUUCUCCAGUUCCAAUGUAGAUGAUUGCUUUAACGGUGCUGAGGAACGGUCUUCCAAGGAUGAUGGGUGGAUCGUAUUCAUCUUCUCCCUUGUCAAUAACUUGAAAGUCUGUGUAGACAAAAUGAUCGUCUAUUUUGACUGGGACAUCAGUUACUGUUCCUUUAACUUCUCGAAACGUCUGAUCUGCCAUCUGGAGCUGAAUGUAUGUUGGUGUUAAGGGCAUGGUUCCGAACAAGAGCCGAUAGGUGACUGUGGCCAUUAUGUUGACGCCCGAUCCGGUGUCGCAAAACGUCUUGUAGAAGCUGUAUCCAUUUAUGGAGCAAUAGAUGCUUGGCAUUCCUGGGUCGUCCUUCUUGGUCAAAAACGGUGACUUAAGUUGAUGAUCUUGGCCUCCAUGAACUGCAGUGACCAUCUUAGCUGACUCGGUCCACACUUGCUUGUUCCUGUUCCUCCUGUUGGUCCUCUUUCUUGAUUCACGUCUGGGUUGAUCUGGAAUUUGUGUAGUCUUGUUCUUGAAGAAAAAUGUCUCCUUCCUCCCUUUGAUGUAGAAACUGAUCUUGGCAGCACUGGCGUAGAUGAUAGCUCCCAUGGUGUUCAAGAAUGGCCUCCCAAAGAUGAUAGGUGCCCUCUCAUCAUUUCCGGUCUCUACCACUACGAAGUCUGCUGGGGCAUAUAAGGUACCAACUCGGACACAGAGGUUCUUCAAUAUUCCUUUUGGAAAACUUAUCGUCUGAUCUGCAAACUGCAAACACAUGGUUGUCUCUAAUAAAGGAUAUGUAAAGAAUUUUUCAUAGAGUACCCUGGGUAUAAUGUUGACGCUAGAGCCAAAGUCACAGAAUGCUUCUGGGACAUCCACCAUGCCGAUGGAGAUCGGGAUGACGGGGCAUCCUGGAUCACCUCUCCUGACCGGCAGAAGGUCAGUAGUGAAUUCAGUGACGGGGUUACUCCAAUUAUUACCUGCAUCAAACAUGUCUACAAGAUUUGCAUAUUCUAAUCCUUCCGGUUGUGAUGGUAUACCGGGGUUAGUAGUAGGAACAGGAGCAGCUAUUUGAUUUAACUGAGAUUCAAUCAUUUUAUUAAAUCUAAUUUGAUUCUUGAUGGCAGUAGAAAAAUUAUCCAUUCUAUUAUUUAUAUUUUCUAGCAUUUUAUCAUUAGAUGCCAAUUUCUUAGAUAGGUUAUCCAUUAGCUUUACUUGAUUAGACACUAACUCUCUCAAAGGUGGAAAAUUAUUAUUAUUGUUGUAAGAAUUGUUACCUUGAUAAUUACCUGAGUAGUUAGGCCUCUGUUGAUUCCAACCUUGAUUUUGUUGAGGACAGUUGUAGUAGUAGUUGUUGUUGUUGAUGUAGUUCACAUCCUCAAGUAUCUCAGGGCAGUGGUUGCCUGAGUGUCCAGUGUCUCCACACUCCUCACAAGUCAUGUGAGAAUCGUAGAUGUGCAUAACCUCCUUCUUAUCUCCAGCUCUAUCAUCGAGCUUCUUCAUGAGCAGGUCUAGCUUUGCAGACAGCAUGUCUACCUCCUUGAGCUGAUGCAUACCUCCACUUCUCUUGCAUGUCUGGGUCCUCUCUUCAUUGCAGCUUUGGUUGGACGCCAUCUUCUCCACUAGAGCUGUGGCUUGUGGUAUAGUAAGUGAUAAGAAUGCUCCUCCAGCUGCAGCAUCCAUGGUUUCUCGGGCACUGUUGCCGAGCCCAUGAUAAAACGUCUGCAUCAAUAGCCAACUCUCCAUUCCAUGAUGGGGACAUUCUAGGAUGUAGUCUUGAAAGCGCUCCCAUGCUUUUGGAACAGAUUCAUCAUUUUGUUGCUGAAAACUUGUAAUCUUCCCACGGAGAGCAUUGGUCUUGCCCAUGGGAAAGAACUUAGCCAGGAAGUUUGUUGAGCAGAGUGCCCACAUAGUAUUCUUCUCCUUUGUAGCGUAAAACCACUGCUUCGCUCUUCCUAACAGUGAGAAUGGGAAGUGGUGAAGUUGUAUAGCAUCUUUGGAAACUCCUGAUAUGGUGAAUGUGUUGCAUAUCUCCAGGAAGUGUUGUAGAUGAGCACUAGCAUCUUCGUGUGCCUUCCCACAGAACUGGUUGGAUUGCACCAUGUUGAUAAGUCUAGGCUUGAGCUCAAAGUUGCCGUCGAUCUCUGCAGCAGGUCCAGUGCGGAUGUUGUCCGUAGUGGGAGCUGAGAACUCGCGGAUCGAUUUGUUCGCCAUGGCUUCGAACUCUGAAGACAAGUUCCGGUGAUCUUCUUGAUUGGAUGAAGCUUCUUGCUGAAGUGUUGAUGAUCUCUUCUUGAGCUUGGCUCUUGUCUUCUUGAAUAAUGCUUCGGGAUUGUCAACAAAAUUUCCUGGAAGAUGUCUUCUAUUCAUACAUUCCCCUGCAUAAGAUAAAAUAGAAAAAUAUCGGGGUAAAACUGUAUGAGAGAAUAGAUAAGCUCAAUCAAAUUAGUGAUGCGAAUGAUAACUCAAAAUCUUUUUAUUCCAUUCCUGAUUAGUAAUCAACCUUCCCCGGCAACGGCGCCAAAAAUGCUUGUUGGGUAUUCUUAACAUCAUUACCAAAAGUAGACUAAGUUCUCUAAAUCUGGUAACGGUGCCAAAAAUGCCAAACCUAUCCCUCACACCACUUAAGCCAAGUUGUCAUCCCCAGCAUGAUAUGAGAGACGCGGUAUUGAAAUAUGCAAUUGCUCUUCUAAAUAAAUAAUGAAUGGGAUCUGCAAGCGCACAUAUUAAUACCGAUGUAGCAUUUUAACCGGGAAGUAUUCCAGGUAUCGUUAUUUAUAUUUUUACCACUGGGAAGGGAUUAGCAGUCAUCAAUAUUGAUUACAGAAUAGAAUAUGAGAUUGAGCAUCUAUCAUUGCAUAUGUAAUUGAGAACAUUUAUCUAACUCAUUCAUACAGGGAUAAGUGUCACAUAAAGGAUAUAUGAAAUAAUGAAUAGUGACAAAGAUAAUUAAUCUGAUCAGCCACAUAUAAAUAUGAUAAGCACCUCAAUUAGAUACUCUAGAAAGUCAUUAGCAUGGAAUUAGAACAAACUACAAGAAUAUUUCCUAAGUUAUUCUCAACUAUAUAGUCUAGCAUUAUCAUAGUUAGUGCAAGCAUACUUAGCAAUCAUUGUGAAACAAGACUACGCCCAUGCAUAGUGAUAUUAGCAAGGUAAAUGAGAAACAUAGUAAUCACUCUCCUGUAAUAAUAUUGCUCUGCUAGCCCAAUACACGAGAGGGGGACUAUAUAAGAAUCAAUGAAGCUGUCACUAUCACGAACUACCCCACGAUCUGGCAUAUUGGGUACAAUCGCAGAUAAAUACGGUAUAAGCACCACGCCUACACAAUAUCUAUCAUUUACCCAUGGAUCCGAUGGAUAAACGCUAUACGAUCCUAAGCAUGUAUAUAGAUCCAAUCUAACUAAGCCAAGUACAUAACUAUGAUAAACUAAGAACAAUAUAAUCUUGAAUAUAAGAAAGUAGAGCAAAGUCAUAAGCAAUAUAUUGAAGUAGAACAAAGUCAUAUUCAUAAUAUUGAAGAACAAAGAUAAUUAGAAGAACAGUUAGAAGCACAAUUAGAGAAUUACCAAGAAUCCUCUUGACAGAUCUGGAAACCAAUCGAAGAUUGACUCCUUCUAGUUCUAAUCCUAUGUAGCUAUGCUAAUCUAGAUAUCUAAUUGAUGUGGUGGCUCUAAUCUUGAUCAGAGGCUUCUUCUCCCUUGAGAAUAAUGAAUUAGGGUUGAGAGGCUCUCUCCUCCAGGGGCCAGGGGGUCUGGUUUUAUAGUCCCUUCAAGUGAAUAUGGGCCGUUGGAUCAAACCGACAUAGAUUUUAUGGUUUAGAUUCAUCCUUUAGGUCGGUGGAGAUCUCCCACGAAGCAGAGUCCUGAUUGGACUCAGGGAGGGGGCGAGCGCCUAGGGGGACAGGGCGGGCGCCCUGCCUCUGGCCCCGUUUCGUCUCCGCUUCGGUCUCGUGGCUUCUGGAGUCUUCUAGAUGUAAGAUAAUUGCGCAGCACGUUAAUAUCUCUAUGUAAUCCCGACGUGUGGGCCUUUCUUCCGUAUUUCCUGAUAACCCCCUGCAAAAAUAGACAAACACCAAAUCUCGUGGAAUUCUGUCAGAUAAAACCCUAAGUCUAGAUGUUGAUUUCAUUUGGAUCCUUUUCUUUUUUUAUUUGAUAAUUAAAUUUGAUACUUAAGGAUCGUCAACAGUGAUAUUUCCUUGUUUUGGUAUACCACAAAUAGUCAUAAGCGAUGGAGGUUCCCACUUCAUCGAUAAAGUCUUCUGGAAGUACCUAGCAGAUCAUGGAGUUCGUCAUACCGUCGCAACAGCAUACCAUCCACAGACCAGCGGUCAAGCAGAAACAUCUAACAAACAAAUCAAGAAUAUUCUGCAAAAGACCAUGGAUGAAUAGGGAAGGGAUGGAAGGACAAACUCUCUGAUGCACUGUGGGCUUAUCGAACUGCUUACAAGACGCCCAUAGGCAUGUCACCCUAUCAACUUGUAUAUGGGAAAACAUGUCAUUUGCGUGUGGAAGUAGAGUUCAAAGCUCAUCGGGCAAUCAAGAAAUGGAAUAUGGAUCUCCACCUAGCUGGUAAGAAUCGUUAGAUGCAAUUAUCUGAGUUAGAGGAGUGGAGAGAAAAGGCCUAUCAUAGCUCUAAGAUAUACAAAGAGAGAACGAAAAGAUGGCAUGAUAAGAGAAUCAAGCACAAGGAGUUUAACCCUAGAGACAAAGUUCUACUAUUUAAUUCAAGAGUUAAGCUCUUUGGACAUGGUAAAUUACGUAGUAAGUGCGAUGGACCAUAUAAGGUCAUCAAUACUUCAACCCAUGGGGCCAUUACCAUUCAAGACGAUGCAGGUAACACUUUUAAGGUAAAUGAACAACACUUGAAGAUUUAUCUUGAGCCACAAAUUAAUUCGGUAGAGGAAUUUGAUGUCAUCGAGUUCAUUGAAGUCUUACAUUAAUACUCAAUCAACCUAGGCUCUAGACAACUAAUGCAUAAACACUUAACUCUUAACAUGCUCCAUGAGUUUUGUUGUCUAUUCGAGUUCCACGGGAUUUUGGAGGACCGAGGAGAGAAAACUUAAAAUGCCAGCCAGUGGAUUGAAAGACUAUAUCAACAUUUAGCUUGGGGGAGAGGCAUGCCCCAUGUGUAUCCAGGUAAGUACCCUUACACUCUUGUUGACACCAUUUUUGGACACGUAUCUUCGGACGCGUAUCUGGGAAUUAGGAAAAUAUAGAUCGGCAGGUGAAAGAGUGGUGACUGUUUAUCAAGGAGGUUACCGAUGGGAAUUGAUGCCGAUGGCUAAAAAGCAGAAUGUGGUCAAGACUAGGGAUGGUGAUUGAUCUAUGCCGAUGACUGAUACUAGUGGUUGCCGAUGCCGAUGGAAGGUGGUUUGCCGAUUGCCAAUGACAAUAGGGGGAGGCGCAGGAGUUGCUGACAGGAUGGUGGCGGUGUGCCGAUUGCUUGUGGUAGAUAGAUUAAUGUUUUCCAUAGCUGUUAGAGUUCGUUUUGUGUGCGGAUUCCGUUCAAUUUGGAAUUAGAGUCCUAGUCGUGUCUGGUUGUAAUUCUUCUGGGCAGGGUAUAAAUGUAGACCCUGUAGCAAUGUAAUGAACAACACAAUCAAUCAAACACAAGUUUUUACAUCUAUUCUAGCAUCUACUUUUUCGAUGACUUCGUCAACUCGCAUACUUUCUUUUUACCUAUGAGUUCUUAGGAAUUCAUCGAGUCAAUCUCGGUGAGUUCUCAAGUUCCGCGUGAAUACCUCUUGGCCAUGACAUCCGGGCGCAUCACUGUUAUCGGGACCAAAGUAUUCGAGUUAUCAUCUUUGUCGAUUAUAAGGUCAAAUCGGCUGGCAUGCCUUAACGUUGAAUUGGGUAUUAGCCCUUUGUGUUUGCAGAUCUAGUUUUGCACCAACACAUCUUUUGGCACGCCCAGUGAGACUGACUCAGAUUCAUCAUCAAGAUCAACAUGUCAAACACUGAUUUCGACUUGGAGAACGUUAUCCCCGUGACGGAAGCCAAUCUCAGAGAUGAACAAAAGCAAGCUAUGGCAAAAGCUAUGGAGGACGACAAGGAGCUAUGCUUGAAAUCCUUCAGUAUCAACAGGAGCGGCGAGGUGAUCCAAAAGGAAGCAUUGCCGAUGCCUUGGCAAAUCACAUUUGAAGCUAAUCGUGGUAAACUACAAGAGAUGGUUGACAAUGCUAUCAAUCGUGCUCUAAUCAAUCAAUCCAGUGUGCUGUCCAAUACAGUUUUCAAUGCUGUGGCUAGAACUUUCAAAGAAGCACAAGUACCACUAGCUUAUGUGGGCCCGGCCUAUCAUCAGCCAGGAUCAUCAUCGGUUACGGCUCCAUCAGCUACUCAGGCCAUUACGGGUACGGAAGUUACUUCUCCUCCAAGCACAUUAGGGAUGACUAAUGGGCAAUCUACACCGAUGACGACUAAUCCAUCAAUAUCAGAGGGACAAGUUCAACUUGCCACAGAUCUAUUGGCAUCGACAAUGUCAGGGUCUGUGUUCAAGAAUUGCCAAGUUACUCCCAACUAGUGGGGAUAUGGUAUGCCCCCGGACUUUGUUGCAAAUAGUUCUGGGACAUCUCAAGUGGUUGACAUCACAGGCAAGGCUCCUAUGGCAUCGGCACCCCCAGUAUCGCCGAUGACUCAGAAUCCCCAGUAUUCUACAACUAGCACUGCAAGGCCUUUUACUAGGAAUUCUCAGAUGCCAACGUUCUAGAUGCCAAAUACAACGGCGGAUCCACUGCCGACGUAUGAAAGGUUUAUGACACAGCCAGGGUAUGUCAAUACAAUGAUGAUGCCCAAUUAUCAACCAUCGGCAGGGCCUACGCCGAUGAAUGUUAACAAUGGAUGGACAGGGCAGUUUGUCUUUCCAUAAAUAUCUCAGCAGAAUCAUCAGGCUAUGGGAUUUCAGCAGGGACCAAUGCAACUUGGGUUUCAGAAUCAAGGAUUGGUCAAUCAGCCGAUGAACCUUGCUCAGCAAGCUGGUGGCCAACAGGCGGUGGCUAAUGCUAUGUUCUCUGGAGAUCGUGCACCACAGAGACACAUAGAAGCUUAUCAGCAGGUCCCAGAUCCACAACCCGCUCAUCAGCAAGAUGUCAAUGCCUAUUGGGCUGAUAAGAUAGCUGAAGUGAUGAGAGAUCAGUUUGGGAUAAAACCCAAAGUCAACACUUAUUCUUAUCGGACACCGUAUCCUCCUGCAUAUGACUUGAUUCCACUUCCAAAUCGGUACAAGGUGCCGGAUUUCACCAAGUUCUCUGGACAGGAUGACACGUCAACCAUGGGACAUGUUAACAGGUUCAUCAUCCAGUGUGGGAAGGCUGCUAAUAGAGAUGAGUUAAGGGUUCGUUUAUUCUCAUCAUCUUUGUCUGGAUCGGCCUUUACUUGGUUUAUUUCAUUACCUCCCAACUCAGUGAUUACCUGGGCCGAUCUAGAAAAGCAAUUCCAUAAAUACUUCUUUUCUGGAGUUCAUGAGAAGAAGAUUACCGAUUUAGUCAGGCUAAAGCAGCACAAUGAUGAAUCGGUUGAAAGUUUUGUGCAAAGGUUGGGAGAUGUUAAGAAUAAAUGCUAUAGUCUGGUUCUGGAUAAUCGGCAGCUAGCUGAUUUGGCUUUCCAAGAAUUAUUGCCACAUAUCAAAGAUAAGUAUGCAUCUCUAGAGUUUGAAAGUUUAAGUCAUUUGGUGCAGAGGAUUUCUGACCAAGAUAUCAAAGCUUUUGAACCUAUGAGAGCAUGGAAUAAAAAGGUGUCAUUUGUUGAUGUGGCAACAAGCUCAGAUUCUUAUGAAGAACCAGUCAUCAGCUUGGCAGAAUGGGUAGAAAAAUAAGAAGCCGAUGUCUUGCCCUUUUGGGCAUAAGGAGCCAGAAAAGUUUGCAUUUAACAUCACCAAAGCUGAUAGGAUAUUUGACUUUCUGCUUGAGGAAGGGUAGAUUAAAUGGUCGCCUAACUAUGUAAUUCCGUCGGCUGAAGAAUUAAAGAAGAUCAAGUAUUGCAAGUGGCAUAAUGCAAUGUCUCAUAGUACAAAUGAAUGCAAAGUAUUCAGACAGCAGUUGCAAUCGGCCAUAGAGUCUGGGAGGAUCAAGUUCGACAGCACCAAAGCUCAAAAGCCGAUGAAAAUCGACCAGCAUCCUUUCCCCACAAAUAUGUUGGAUGCUAAGGGAAAGACCAAAGUCUUGACGUUAGAAGAAGCUCAGAGAAGCGCAUUGGUAGAUCCUCAACAUCAGAUCACUGCCGAUGACGCCAAGGGCAAAGGUUUAAUCCAGGAGGGCACUAGUUCUGGAAGACCUCCUUGGUCUGGCAUUGUGAUCACCCAUAGGAGACAUCGGGAAACCUGGCAGCAGCGUGAAGAUCGGUAUCGUUGCUAAGAGGAAGAUCGUCGCCGAGAAGAAGAAAGACGCCGACAAGACUGGAAUCGACAUAAAGAUCAUUGGAAUUGCUCGUUCUUCAUCCACUGUUGGGAGAAAAACAUCAAGCUACCAACUGUUAGAGAUUGCCCUGAGUGUAACGGUUAUAAUUGGUAUGAUAGACCAAAUCGGCAGUAUCAGAACAAUGAUCGGUGUUUUGAUGGGCCGAUUAGAGGAAGGACAUCAGUUCAUGAUCGGCUGGGGGCAGGCUCAGUGUGCAUGAUAGGCUUGGUGAAUGUGUUGGCUAUUUUCCAAGAAACCAAGAGGAGCUUGAGGAGAUGGCGGAUGCGCGAGUUCCCGAUGAGUUCAUAUUUUGCAGAGAUGCUAAUACUUAUCGGGUGGAAACAAGGGAAAACCGUCGUCAAUCGGUAAGGCAACCACAACUUCCACCAUGGUGUCCAGAAGGGUUGACAAGGACACAGAAGAGGAGGUUGCAACGGGAGCGACAAGAAGAAUUGAGUAGGGGAGAGAAUUCUGCCAAGUCUAGAGAUCGGCAGCAGUCAGAUCCUAAGGGAAAAGACCCAUCGACAGAUGUUAAUAUGGUGUUUAUGUUGCCAAUGGAAUUUCUUGCACCUUUCAGUGAUGAUGAGGAGAUAGAUUUCCCUGAUCAGAUAGCUCAGUUAGCUCUUGACCCGAUGACAACUAUUUUUGAAAACCCUGCUGAUGCUGAGAGGCAGCACCUUAAAGCUCUAUUUGUCAAAGGUAGGGUUGAUGGGCAGCCGAUGACCAAGAUACUUGUUGAUGGUGGGGCUACUAUCAAUAUUAUGCCAUAUGCAGUCUAUCGGAAGCUUGGAAAAGGGGAUCAAGAUUUAACCAAGACCGAUAUGAUGUUAAAGGAUUUUGAAGGAAAUGUGUCUCCAGUCAAGGGAGCCAUAUGCGUUGAGUUGACCAUCGGCAGCAAGACCUUGCCGACAACUUUCUUUGUCAUCAGUGGAAAGGGUGCUUAUAAUUUGCUGUUGGAGAGAGAUUGGAUUCAUGCCAAUUGUUGCAUUCCAUCUACAAUGCACCAAUGCUUGGUUCAGUGGGUAGGUGACAAGAUUGAAAUCGUCCCAAGAGAUUCUUCAUAUGUUAUUGCAUCGGCAGAUACUUAUGAAAAGACCAGGUGUAUUUAAGGAGAAGUUUGGGAGAAGGAUUUUCUCAAAGUUGCUGAUUAUGAAAUUCCACCGAUCCAAGCAGUCGGUUCUGAUGAAGGGUUUUAAUGGAUAGGUUCACCGAUGAUGGAAAAUUAGGCCAAGGGUUUACAUCGGUCGAUGAUUUAGUAGAAGUAGAUAUAGGUAGUGGUGAUAGGCCAAAGCCUACUUUUAUUAGUGCUAAUUUAGAUUUUGAGUGUAAACAACAGUUGACCGAUUUGUUAAAGGAAUAUAAAUAUUGCUUUGCUUGGGAUUAUACCGAGAUGCCUGGUUUAGACCGAUCGAUUGUUGAACAUCGGUUGCCUAACAAGUCUGGGUUUCGGCCACAUAGCAGCCAGCACGCUGAUGCAAUUCUAAUAUCCUACCUGAUAUUAAGGCUGAAAUAACUAAACUUAUUGAAGCUAAAUUUAUUCGGCAAUGUCGUUAUGCCGAGUGGAUUUCCAAUGUUGUUCCGGUUUACAAGAAGAACGGGAAACUGUGUCUGCAUUGACUUUAGGAAUCUUAAUAAGGCUACGCCGAUGGAUGGUUACCCAAUGCUGGUUGCGAUUUAUUAGUUGACGCUGCAGCUGGACAUCGGAUCAUUAGCUUUAUGGAUGGCAAUGCAGGAUACAAUCAAAUAUUUGUGGCUGAGGAAGAUAUUCCCAAGACUGCAUUUAGAUGUCCUGGUCAUGUUGGAUUGUUUGAAUGGAUAGUCAUGACCUUUGGUUUGAAGAAUGCUGGUGCUACUUAUCAGAGGGCUUUGAAUUUUAUCUUUCAUGAGUUCAUCGGCAAGAUAGUUGAAAUUUAUAUCGAUGACGUGGUGGUUAAGUGUGGAUAUUUCACAAAGCAUCUUGCUGAUCUGCGAGAAGUGCUGGAGUGCACAAGGAAGCAUGGUUUAAAGAUGAAUCCUAAUAAAUGUGCAUUUGGCGUGUCGGCAGGACAAUUUUUUGGUUUCAUGGUGCAUCAGAGAGAGAUUGAAAUUAGUAGGAGAUCUAUUGAUGCCAUCAACAAGAUAGUUGCUCCCACCAAUAAGACUGAACUUCAAUCACUGAUCGACAAGAUAAAUUUCAUCAGACGAUUUAUAUCUAAUUUGUCUGGUAAGAUUUGUGCUUUUAGUCCUUUGCUUAAGUUGAAAGCCGAUCAAGAGUUCGUGUGGGGGAAAGAGAAACAGUUAGCGUUGGAUGAAAUCAAUAAUUAUUUAACAAAUCCUCCAGUUCUGAUUCCACCUCAGCAAGUAAAGCCUUUCAAAUUAUAUUUGUCUACCGAUGGGAUGGUCAUUGGUUCAGCUCUAAUUCAAGAAUUUGAAGGGAAGGAGCGUGUGAUUUAUUAUCUAAGUAGAAGACUGGUGGAUGCUGAGACAAGGUAUUCGGCAAUUGAAAAGUUGUGUUUAUGUUUAUACUUUUCUUGUAUCAAAUUAAGGCACUAUUUGCUGUCGGCCGAAUGCUGUGUUAUAUGCAAAAAUGAUGUCGAUACAUGUUAUCUAUGCUGAUUAUGAGUGGUAGAAUCUGCAAGUGGAUUUUGGCAUUGUCGGAAUUGGAUCUACGCUAUGAAUCGGCUAAAGCGGUUAAAGGGCAGAUUAUGGCCGAUUUUGUGACUCAGCAUUGCGGUGUGGUGAAUGCCUUGGAAAUUGUUCCUUGGACGCUCUUCUUUGAUGGAUCGACAUGCGACUGAGGGGCAGGAAUCGGUAUAGUACUAAUUUCUCCUCGAGGAAAGAAGUAUGAGUUUUCUUUGCCGAUUGUUGCCACGUCAACAAAUAAUCAAGCUGAGUACCAAGCUCUGAUCAAAGGGUUGGUAUUAUUGAAGGAAGUUCAUGCUGAUGCUGUUGAAAUCUUCGGCGAUUCUAUGCUUGUUAUAAAUCAACUAGUCGGAAAUUAUGAAUGUCGAAGUGAGGUUUUAAUAACCUACCAUGAGAAGUGCAUACAAUUGUUGAAAGAAUUCAAGGAUUUCCGGUUGGAGCAUAUUCCUCAGUUACAUAAUGAGGAAGCUAACCGAUUGGCUCAGCAUGCUUCGGGAUAUCAACCCAUCUUGGGCGUAUUAUCGGCAAUCAAUGCCGAUGAUUGGAGAGGGGAGAUUGUUGAUUAUUCAAAAGAUCCAUCCAGGAAGGUUGAGAGGCGUGUUAGGUUUCAAGCAACAAAGUAUGUACUCCUCGAAGGAGAGUUGUAUUAUCGGACAAUAGAUGGAGUUUGGCUUAAAUGUUUGAGUAAUGAUGAGGCUAGAAGCUUGAUGGGUGAGAUCCAUGAAGGAGUGUGUGGAGCACAUCAGUCGGUUUUUAAGAUGAAGUGGAUGAUUAGGAGAAACAGAUAUUAUUGGCCGACUAUACUUGAGGAUUGCUUUAAAUAUUUCAAAGGAUGUCAAGGAUGUUAGAAGUUUGGCAAUAUUCAAAGGGCACCCACAUCGGCCAUGAAUCCUAUUAUUAAGCCUUGGCCGUUCCGGGGAUGGGCUAUUGAUCUAAUCGGCUAGAUUUAUCCGCCAUCAAGCAAGGGGCACAAGUUCAUUUUGGUUGCCACUGACUAUUUUACUAAAUGGGUUGAAGCUAUUCCUUUGAAGAAAGUAACAUCGGCUAACAUGAUUGAUUUCGUGAAAGAACAUAUUGUUUACCAAUUUGGUAUUCCUCAAACAAUCACUACCGAUCAGGGUACUAUGUUCACAUCAGGAGAGUUUGAUGAAUUUGCAAUCGGUAUGGGGAUUAAAGUAUUGAAUUCUUCUCCUUACUAUGCUCAAGCCAAUGGACAAGCCGAAGCGUCUAAUAAAGGGAUUAUUAAGCUCAUCAAGCGAAAGAUUGAAGAAAAUCCUAGAAGAUGGCACACAUUAUUGAAUGAAGCUUUGUGGUCAUAUCGGAUGGCGUGUCAUGGAUCGACCAAAGUUUCGCCCUAUGAGUCGGUAUAUGGACACGAUGCAGUGCUACCAUGGGAAUUAGGACUGGAUCUAGACGAGUGUCUUUUCAAGAUCAAUUGACUGCCGAUGAUUAUGCAAUUUUAAUGAAAGAUGAGUUGGAUGAUUUGGCAGAGCAUCGGUUGAGAGCUUUGAUGAGUAUAGAAGAAAAUAAAAAGUGAGUUGCUAAAUGGUAUGACAAAAAGGUAAAAGUUAAGGAGUUUGCCGAUGGAGAUUCGGUAUGGAAAUUGAUUCUACCGAUUGGGACUAAGAGUUCAAAAUUUGGAAAAUGGUCUCCUAAUUGGGAAGGUCCUUAUCGGGUAAACCGGUCUGCUCCUGACAACGCUUAUAUUUUAGAAACUCUCGAAGCAGUUGAGUUUCCCAAAGCAUUAAAUGGAAAAUAUUUAAAGAAGUAUUACCCAAGCAUCUGGAUCGAUGCAUAAAAGUUCAAAUGCCGAUAACACUCCUAUCGGCUGGAUGAAAUGUAUCUAAGAUCAUAUAUGAUGUUUUAAGGUGCCGAUAACAGUCCUAUCGGCUAGACCAGAAUGAUAAAAGUUUCUAAGGACAGUGCUUGCCGAUGAAAAGCUCAUAGGUUCAGCAAACCUUGGAUAGUUGAUAUGGCGCGUAGUCGAAUGUGGUUGGCCUCUUCUAUCUCCCGGAUAUCCUCAUCGGCAGAACCCUCUACCGGCUUCAGCUUCUUUUUCAUCUGCAGUGCCUUACAAGCCCAGGUGUUUCGUUCUUGCUGAAGAGUCUUGAGCAUCUCAGGCAGCUGGCUUUCUUCUUACUGAGCUUGGGUCAGAGCUUCUUCUACUUGUUUGAGCUCAGCUAGCAGGGCUUCCCCUCUUACUGAUAGGUCGGAGAUCUUUUUGUUUCAGUGUAUCUCCCAAGGACUGCAGAAUACCGAUGCUUUUGUGCUUCUCAUCGGCAAUAUGCUUUACUUGCAUUACUUUCUCUAAGAGUUGGGCGUAAGUGGCUCUAUCGGCAAGACGCUGGGUAGCCUUCUGCUAUUGGAGCUGGCGGCUCUCUAAGUGUGCAGCCUGGAAUAGAAUUUCUUCUGCAUGGGCUGGGAUCUGGCCUUGAAGAGUCUUGAAUAAAGCUUUGGUUGGAUCGGAAUCAUCUACUAACUAGGUAGUGUCUUGAUGCAACAGAGACAGUAGGUUUUCUAGCUUAGCUUUAAUCUCUGUCGAUGAGAUUCCUAUUGCUUGAGAGGAGCUCGCUUCUUCACCUUCGUCAUCGGAGAUGUCGAUAGCAAAGGAGAAUAAGCUGUCUGGAGAGUCUUGUUCCUAAAAAAGGAAUAGAGAUAAGUUAUCUGAUAAUCGAAUGUUGAUAAUAAAGGGUGAAGAUUAGAAACUUACUUGCUUCAGAGUGAUUUCGCGCCUUUGACGAGUGGAUGCGGCCGGUACUAUAGGUUGAUCGGCUGGAGUUGCCGAUAGAACAAUGUCAACUGAGAAAUUACAAGGUUAAUUAUAAUUUGUAAAAAUAAAUCCAUCAAUGAUAAUUUUGUGGCCAGUACUUUACCUUGAGGGGGUGCAGUGCUUGUUUGUUCUGGAGGAACAACCGAUGAUAUAAUCAGAACCGCUGGAUCAGCAGUUUGCUCAAGUACAUCGGCUAGUGCUUCUUGUGGCUGAGGUGCUGGUUGAGGAGGGUAUGGUACUUUCUGUGUCUGGAUUUCUGGUGAAGAGGGGGAUGAUUCCACAUGAAUCGGUGACACUGGACGAGGAGGAGAAGAUGGUGCUGUCCUCUGGCGCUUUUGUUGCGACUUGGUGCUCUUGGGGCCUUUUCUCUUGAUCUAGCUAGGCUGGGGGGCAUCGGCACUUGUUUGGGCGCUUCUAGUCUUUGCCGAUUUGCCAGUUUGCUGUUACAACAAUCAAGAUUUCAUGAGUAAAAGUGUGAAAGAGUAUUGAUGAAAUUUUAUUGGAAAAAUAAAAGUUACCGAUGAAGUUCCCGUGGCAGUCGAUGUACCCUGAAAAGGUUGUGUGAGUACGAGACAAGAUCAGUAUAAGCAAAAGAAAUUAAGAGUCUACCUUGAAAGCCUGUGCCAGAGUGGCAGGGGCAACCGAUGGAGAGGUCUUCGACUGCUUGGUGGUCGUCUUCUUGAAGCGUACGUUCCGAUGCGCCAGGGCUGCUAAACUUGGUGCGUUAUGACCGAUCAAAGAGAUUGGACCUGAUGGAAGGAGUUCGAUCGGUCUUCCACUCCUGCUGACUGUCGGGGCUGGAUUGUCGACCUGUUAAAAUGAAAACAAGUAAGUUACCGAUAGGAACAGAAGUGAUAAAGGAACUAAGAUUUCGGUCGAAGACUUACAGUGUUAUCAGGAACUUUAUAGUUGGGAUCGAUCAUGCCACGAUAUGUCAGAGCUGAUCUGUUGAACAAGUGUUCCUUCCAUUCUUCCCACCACUGUUUAUACAUCUAGGUAAUGAAGAGGGCCGGAAUCCAAGCCGAUAAAUCGAUAUAUGACGUAUCGGCAUUUGGUUGAAGCUCGGCUAUCCUUAUCCAUUCGAGUCCGCUGGUUAUAGUUUCCCUUGGCUUCACCGCAUCGGCAUAACAAAGUCUAAUCGGCAGCUGCCCAAAAGCCAGUUGACGAGCUAGUGCCGAUGGGCUAUAAAAUUCAUAAGUGGGGUUGGAGUUCUUCCCACUGCCGAAAGUAUUCACUGGAAUGGCUGUUAACGGUCCUUAAGUACUAAAUUUAACCAUCAACUAAACAUGGAAAAGGAUCAAUAUGCACCAAACAUCUAGAAUUAGGGUUUUAUCUGACAGAAUUCCACGAGCUUUGGUGUUUGUCUAUUUCUGUAGGGGUUUAUCAGAAAAUAUGGAGAGAAGGCCCACAUGUCAUGUUUACAACGAGAUAAUUACGUGCUGCGCAAUUUUCAUUAAUCUAGAAGAGUCCAGAAGCCACGGGAACGAACGGGAGACCGGACGGGCCCAGGGGUAGGGCGCCCGCCCUCCCCCCUUGGGCGCCCACCCUGGCCUCGGGGCCAAUCAGAAUUAAUCUCCUAGAUUAUGCUCCACCGACCUAAAGGAUCAAGGAAAACCGUGAGAUCAAUGUCGGUUUGAUCUGACAGCCCAAAUUCACUUGAAAGGACUAUAUAAUCAAUGCCUCUCCAUCCCGGGGGAGGGAGGAGAAAUCAUUAUCAGAGGUAGCCAUCAAAGUUAGGGUUUAGAACUUCUCUCCCACAGAGAAUUAGAAUUAGCUACUCCCUAAUCCUUCAAGUUUAGAGGAUUGAUUAGAUAGGAAUUAGAGAAGUAGAGCACUACGCUCUGGAUUUGAAUCUUCGUUAAUAAAGAUUGGUAUUAUUUCAUAUCUUUCUCUACUACUUUGUUCUAAUUGCAUUAUGUCUCUAUUUGUUAUGCUCUUAGUUUGCUCUAGUUCUAUAUUUGAUAUAGUUAAGAUUGAUAAGGAGUUUAUGCAUAAGUUUGCAAAGCGCUUAGCUCUUAACACGUGGGAGUUAAGUGGUAGAUCAUAUGUAGGCGUGGUGCUUAGAUAUUAUUUACCUACAAAUGUAUCCUAUUGGCCGGGUUGUGUGGUAGUUCACGAUAGUGAUAGCUUCGUUGAUUCUUAUAUAGUCCACCCUCCAUUGAUAGGACACGCAGAAUUUGUAUUGCGGAGUAAGUCUUGCGAUGCUCUGAUUUACUUUAGCAAUGUUCCUUAUACAUGAAUGAAGAGUCUUUUAUGCUAUAUAUGAUCUUGUAGAUAACUAGAGUAGAUUGUGACUUAGUAGAUAGUAGAUAACUUAGAAUCCAUUCUCUAGCUAAUCCGACGUCAUCUUACAUAUAUGAGGAGUAGUCUAUUUUCUAAUCGCUGUGUUAUUUACCCAUUAGCUUAUAUUUCAUUAUCAUUAUUAUUAUGGCUUACCCCCUGCCAAAGUAAGUGACUGUGUGACGAGUUCCUCAUUAGUAAUCAUGUUCUUGCAAGUUUAUCUCUAGUCUAUGCCUUGAUAGAUUUUAUUUAUCUCCCUUGUGAUUAAGCAAAAUUAUAAAUAACGAUACCUGGAAUACUUAUCCUGGUGAAAUGCUACAAUGAGGUGUUUUAUCUGUGCGCUUGCGGAUAGAAUAGAUUAUUUUCUAGAGAGCCUUUACAUUUAUAAAUACCUUUGUACACUCUGGCACCAUGCUGGGGAUGACAACCUAGUAUCCAAGUGGUGUUAGUAAGUGUCAACAAGCAUUUCUGGUGUCGUUGCCGGGGAACAAAACGCAAAAAGGGAAACACAUAGGAACGGUAAGGAAAGUCAGGAAAUUAGUCAAGGUUAUUCACACAAAAUAUUAGACUAGACUAUAGAGAAAUAAUUGCAUAAAACAGCUACUAAGUGAGAAAUCAUAACAAGGCACCUCUGCUUUGGCAGGUUCACCCUUUUGUUUUUCUAUGUUUAUAUUUUUAUACAAGGUAUAUCAAGAUUGACUUUGGUACAUUCAACUCUUCAUCAUCAGAACCAAAGCAAUCAAGAAAGAAGAAGGUACCUACCAAUUGCUGAAGCUAUGGCACAAAAGACCUUGUAAGAAUUCUCUGCUCCGAGUCUUGAGAACAUUCCAACUGGUCCAAGAUUUGCAGUAGAAGAAGGAUCAUCUGAGUUUGAGCUCAAGUCAAGCCUCAUCAAUUUGGUACAAGCUACACAAUUCAGUGGAAAGGCACAGGAAGAUGCUAGUGCACACUUGCAGAAUUUCUUAGAGAUUGGAAGCACAAUCCGCAUCAAUAGAGUCGACAAAGACGUCAUACUGCUUCGCCUCUUGCCGUUCUCACUAGAAGGGAAGGCGAGGAAGUGGUUCUACACUCAUCAAGAUAACAUCAACAACUGGAUGAACUUGUCAGAUGCCUUUCUAUCAAAGUUUUUCCCAAUGGGCAAGACAGCUGCCUUAAGAGGAAAUAUUGUCGGUUUCCAACAGCAGAAAACAGAAACCAUUUCAGAAGCAUGGGAGCGUUUUCAAGGAUACAUAUCAGAUUGUCCUCACCAUGGAAUGGCCACAUGGUUACUUAUACAGACCUUCUACCAUGGAUUAACCCAGAAGGUUCGUGAGUGCCUAGAUGCAUCUGCUAAGGGAUCAUUCUUGGAGCUUACAAUUGGAAAAGCAGAGAUCCUUUUGGAUAAGAUAGCAGAAAACCAAAGCUGGUUCCAAGAUGAAGCUCAACAAUGUCAUCAAACUAAAGAAAUACCAGAAGAAGUAAAUGCAUUAUCAACCAAGAUGGAAAAAUUGCUCCAUUGGAUUGACUAGAGGGCCAAGUUCAAAGAAGAUCAAAGGGCCAUUGAGACAGCAUACAAAUAUCAACGUACCUCGAGUCAACCCAAUAGCAAAGGUAUGAAUUCAGGUAAUACUUUCAAGCAACUUUCAUUAAAAGAGAUAAUUGCUCAACAAAUAAAAACUAAUGAUGAAGUUAAACAAAGGCUAGAUACAAAUGGAUCAUCUCUAGAAGAUAUACACAAUAAAAUGGAUUUUCUAUCAAAUGCCUUUGAUGAGCAAAACACUCUCAAUAAAAGGUAGAGCUUAAAUUAAUAAAGCUAGCUGCUACAUUGCAUGUUGCCACUAACAUUGAGCAUGUAAAGAACAUAACUACUAGAGGAGGCAAAGCCACCAGGGAUCCCCCAUACCUAGAAGAGAAACAAAGAACAUCAGCACUAGUGCAACCAGCAGUGAUAGAAGAAGAAAGCCCAGUUGAAGCAGAAGAUCUACUACAACCACCAAGAACUGGAGAAAUGAGGAAAGAUUUUUACGACACCAACUAUCUGCCAUUUCCCAGAAGGUACAGAGGACUGCAGUGGGAUGAGCAGUUUGGUAAGUUUGUAGAGGUCAUUCAGAAAUUAUAUGUCAACAUACCUCUACUCGAUGCCAUACAGGUACCUACAUAUGCAAAGUACAUAAGAGAUAUUCUUAACAAGAAGAGACCACUGCCCACCACUGAGGUUAUCAAGCUGACAGAAGAAUGUAGUGCGGCCAUCCUCAACAAACCACCAAGGAAGAAGAAGGAUCCAGGAUGCCCCACUAUUGAUUGCUCGAUCGGAAACCAACACUUCAACAAUGCACUUUGUGAUCUCGGAGCAAGUGUCAGUGUGAUGCCAGCAUCAGUCUACGAGAAGCUUGAGCAUAUGACCCUAGAACCAACAUCAAUGUGCCUACAACUAGCAGAUCAAUCAGUUCGACACCCGUUGGGUAUCGCCGAAAACAUUCCAGUCAAGAUCAGAGAUUUCCUUGUGCUAGUAGACUUCGUGGUACUGGACAUGAGUCCUGACUCAAAAGUGUCCAUCAUCCUUGGAUGGCCAUUUCUGAGCACUGCCAAUGCUCACAUCGAUGUUGGGAAAAGAGAAAUCAAGUUCAACAUAAACAGAAAAGAAGAACACUUCACAUUCAAGCCCAGACCAGAGAGAGACUCUACAGUGAAGGAAGUUCAUGAAGAAGAACCACUGAAGACACCAUCUUCGGAGGAAGGUAAUUCAGAAGAUUAAAAUAUUUGGAAGUCCAGCUUGGGGGACCUAAAAAUCCCAAACCCUCGCCGGGAGGUAAAUCGGUAUUUAUCCGCAUCAUUAAUUCUCUCAUAUUUAAUUCUUGCAUUAGUCAUAUUUAUUCAUAGCAUUAUUACAAUAAUCAAAAGCCCCAUAUAAAUAAUAUUUAUGGUGUGUAACAAUGCAUAUUUAUUAAUUAUUGUGGAGGCACAAAAAUAUUUUCCAUUAUCAUUUCAAUAAGUUUCAAUUCUCAUAGAUUUUCCUGCAUUAUAUUUAAUUACAGUAACCUUCUAGAAGCAUGACCCACACUCCUUGGGUCCCACAUGUCAUACACCACACCUCACACACAUCCCAUCACAUUAUUUGAUCCACCAACAUAACUCCACUCACCAGCACUUUUCCACCGACCAAACACCACCCAUGAACUAUUAUUAUGCGUAAGAGCCAAGCAAAGGAGGGAGUGGAGAAAAGGCAGCCAGGAUGGCCACCAAAGGUGGGCGCCCGCCCACCUACAAAGGGUGCCCGCCCUGUCCCCCUUUCCUCCUAUAAAUUGCCACUUCCUACCUCCAACUUCUUCAGACAAGCAUUCCAGAAAACCACGCAAGUUUCAGUUUCCAGAGAAGGAGCUCUUGUAGUGAAGUGAGAAGGAGAGUAGAGAGGAAGAGAAGAGUGGAAGAGAGGUUGGUAGUCUCUGAGUGAGAGAAUAAGGUUCACCAAGUAAGUAGUGAUCCCGCUGUCCAGAGCGGAAGUAAACGUUGUUUAGGGGGAGGUACUACCAAAAUAAAAACUUGUCUUAAACGACUAACCCCUGGACUACUAACAUUUCGGACAGCUGACCACUAACAUUUUCUCUCACAUUUUCCACUAGUUGUGUGUGUGUCAAAUUUUGUCUAUAGGAUGUUCAAGAAGGUAAAGAACGCAGGGAAGGCCCUCAAGAAAAUUGGUACGAGGAGCUCGUCCCGACACUCCUCGCACCAGUCAGAGAUGAGCAUUGACCCGACGCCCCCGCAAGCUCCAUCAUCUUCAUCUGAUCAGCAAGUCAAGGUCCUCCUCAAGAUAGGAGACCUUGGACUGAAGACCCGCAGGGAAAAGGAAGUUUACCAGCAGCUAAAGAAUAAGGAUUUCAUUCACACUGUUGGGUAUUCUUAACAUCAUUACCAAAAGUAGACAGUUUUCUAAUUCUAGUAACGGUGCCAAAAAUGCCAAACCUAUCCCUCAUACCACUUAAGCCAAGUUGUCAUCCCCAGCAUGACAUGAGAGACGCGGUAUUGAAAUAUGCAAUUGCUCUUCUAAAUAAAUAAUGAAUGAGAUCUGCAAGCGCACAGAUUAAUACCGAUGUAGCAUUUUAACCGGGAAGUAUUCCAGGUAUCGUUAUUUAUAUUUUUACCACUGGGAAGGGAUUAACAAUCAUCAAUAUUGAUUAAAUAAUUGAAUAUGAGAUUGGGUAUCUAUCAUUGCAUAUAUAAUUGAGAACAUUGUAUCUAAUUCUUUCAUACAGGGGUAAGUGUCACAUAAAGGAUAUAUAAAGUAAUGAAUAGUGACAAAGAUAAUUAAUCUGAUCAGCAUAACUUAGCCACAUAAUAAAUAUGAUAAGCACCUCAAUUAGAUACUCUAGAAAGUCAUUAGCAUGGUAUUAGAACGAACUACAAGAAUAUUCCCUAAGUUAUUCUUAACUAUAUAGUCUAGCAUUAUCAUAGUUAGUGCAAGCAUACUUAGCAAUCAUUGUGAGACAAGACUACGCCCAUGCAUAGUGAUAUUAGCAAGGUAAAUGAGAAACAUAGCAAUCACUCCCCUGUAAUAAUGUUGCUCUGCCAGCCCAAUACACAAGAGGGGGACUAUAUAAGAAUCAAUGAAGCUGUCACUAUCACGAACUACCCCACGAUCUGGCAUAUUGGGUACAAUCGCAGAUAAAUACGGUAUAAGCACCACGCCUAUACAAUAUCUAUCAUUUACCCAUGGAUCCGAUGGAUAAACGCUAUACGAUCCUAAACAUGUAUAUAGAUCCAAUCUAACUAAGCCAAGUAUAUAACUAUGAUAAACUAAGAACAAUAUAAUCUUGAAUAUAAACAAGUGGAGCAAAGUCAUAAGCAAUAUAUUGAAGUAGAACAAAGUCAUAUUCAUAAUAUUGAAGAACAAAGAUGAUUAGAAAAACAAUUAGAAGCACAAUUAGAGAAUUACCAAGAAUCCUCUUGACAGAUCCGGAAACCAAUCAAAGAUUGAAUCCUUCUAGUUCUAAUCCUAUGUAGCUAUGCUAAUCUAGAUAUCUAAUUGAUGUGGUGGCUCUAAUCUUGAUCAGAGGCUUCUUCUCCCUUGAGGAAUAAUGAAUUAGGGUUGAGAGGCUCUCUCCUCCAGGGGCCAGGGGGUCUGGUUUUAUAGUCCCUUCAAGUGAAUAUGGGCCGUUGGAUCAAACCGACAUUGAUUGAACGGUUAUCCUUGAUCCUUUAGGUCGGUGGAGAUCUUUCCCGAGAGAAAGUCCUGAUUGGACUCAGAGAGGGGGCGGGCGCCCAGGGCAACUGGGUGGGCGCCCAGUGCCUGGCCCCGUUCGGCCUCCGCUUCCUUCCUGUGGCUUCUAGAGUCUUCUAGAUGUAAGAUAAUUGCGCGGCACGUUAAUAUCUCUAUGUAAUCCCGACGUGUGGGCCUUUCUUCCGUAUGUCCUGAUAACCCCCUGCAGAAAUAGACAAACACGAAAACUUGUGGAAUUCUGUCAGAUAAAACCCUAAGUCUAGAUGUUGAUUUCAUUUGGAUCCUUUUCUUUGUUUAUUUGAUAAUUGAAUUUGAUACUUAAGGACCGUCAACAAACUCCCCCAAGCUUACCUCUUGCUCGUCCCUGAGCAAGGAUAGAUUACAAGUUGCUGCAAUAAUUAAAAAUUGACGGUACACAUGCUUUUUAAAUAAAGUCUCAUCUCUGAGUUAGAGUAAACUGUCAAGACUUAAAACUUACUUACUUUACCUUCACCAUGGGACAUGUAACCGUCACUUCUGUCUUGAGUAGUUAAAAGAUAGAAUAGUCUAGUCAAGUGCCAUGUCUCUUAUUCUUGAUCAGCUAUAGCUCUGGAGUUUUUGCAGAUUUUCAUAUAAAACUCAGAGAUUCCUUGUAUGACUCUCUCAUAUCUCUCUUUUGUGGUAUUUUUGGAUCCUUACCAAGGCAGUGAUGGUAUAUGCCUUCUCUCAAAAUAUGUGGCAUUUAUGGUAUAAAGCAUAGUGACAUUGUCUUCUCUCUCACCCUACUCUAAUAAGGCUUUAAUAUCUGGAGCUCAUAGGUGGGAGAUAAAGUAUACAUACUUACAAGACAUUUAUUGUAUAGUCAAACUAUGGAUCCAAAGAAACAAAUCAAUAAGCCAAAUCAAGAUGUGCAUGUGUGGCGAAUGAAUGGUGUAUGGUGAUGAUGGUGAUAAUAAUGGUGAAAGUCUAAUUCUACUUUUGCUCUUUUGAGGGGAUACAUACCUUCCUUGCUUUCUGAAACUUUAUGAGGAGAAUGAGAUGCUCUUCUUUUUCUUUCCUCUCAGGUGGGUAUCUUGUACCCCUAAUUCUACUGUCAGACACUUGUCCAUUUUUACCUCUCGUCUUACUUUUUCUUUUCUUUCGAGGUUACGGGCACUUGCCCCUUUUUAUUUCCUCGUAUACUUUUUUUCUUUCUUCUUUUUUUUAGAGCACUCAUCUCUUGAGAUAAUAUAGCAAGUGGUAGUAACAAGAUAACUUGAGCAUUUAUUUCACAAGGGAAAAACAUAAAUGUUUUUGGCUAUUCUCUCCCGGAUUAGGAGUAGAAUAUUUUUGGGUGAUUCUGGUGAUGGAAAUGGGUGGAUAUAUGUGGAUGGUACUUCCGGAGUAGAAGCAACAUAUGUGAGUGAACGUGCAAGUGAAAUCUUGAUUUAACCACAUGACAAGCUCCUAAGGGUCUACACAACUUGACCACACUCAAUGCUCAUAAGCAGUAAAAAGUAAAUGUGUCGCUCAAAGUCUAGCAAGCAUGUAUAUAUGGCUGUGGUAGGACUUUAAACUCUCAUCAUACAGGAACUCAUCAUGCAAUAUUUUAAAGAUUUUUUAAAGAUAAAAUUCUCCAGAAUUCUAGCAUCUAUAGGAACAGAUAAACAGCAGCUCAACCUUCCCAUAUCAUAUCCGUUAACAACUUAGACUUCAGAUCAAGUUUUCUUCCCACAAGUUCAGGUUUAGAGCAAGCUUUAAAUUAUAACAGUUAUGUCUAAACUUGAGAGAGAACUUCAUAUUUUUUAAAAAUUAAGCAGAGCAACUAUUCAUCAUAUCCAUGCUAGAGUUUAUUAUUAAGAUUAAGAUUCGCAUAGCCACUUUAUUUAUUUAUUAAACACACUAAGCAAAAGACAUAUAUAUAAGCACAAAAUCUUUAUUUGGUUUUUCAUGUUUAUGUAUAUUUAUAGUAUAUGUAUAAAGAUAGAUAGAAAUACUUAUCGGGAUAAAUGAGGGUGCUGUCCCCCAAGCUGAUUUUUGACGUAAUUUCUCUUGAUGUAGCUAGCAGGUGGCAGAGGUGUAUUUGAAAGUUAGCAGCAUUCUAACAGCGAUUAGAAUGUCCUCCGUCUGCUAGUCUUCUUGAUUCUUAAAUCAUGUGGAGCUCAAAUAGACAACAAAGCUUUGUGGAACUGAUUAAGUGUUAGCAUAAAUAUCUAGCCUUUAUCAUGUUGAGUCUCCUCAAUAAAUGUUACUCCCUAUUUUUAUAUUUCCAUUUUAUAAGGCAGAAAAUAAAUAUUUAUUUUAUUUUUAUGCCACCACAGUGAAUGUACUUAUGGGUUUUAUGCCACUCGUAUACUCACAUGGGGCUUACUAUUUUUUAACAUUUUUAUUUUCUUUUUAGGAUAGUACGAACAUAAUUAACUAAGCAAACUAUUUGAAAUAAUUGAAAGGGAAAGGAUAACUACCAAGUUUACCUCUUGGCAAGGCGUUCUGUGUUUUUAAGUCCUCCGAACGGGACUCUCCUCUUUUUCAAUUGUCCUAGGAUUUGUUGGGUGGCGUAGUCGGUACUUCCGGCAGCGCCUCCUCUUCAUGCAUAGUUAUCUUCUCUUUCCACACCUGACUUGGUGCUAUGGUCUCCUCAGGAUAGUUCUGUUUAAAUUCUACGUCUUCUGACCUUACCACUUCUCCUUCGUAGUCUGCCCAUCCGUCCUUGAUGAUUUGCCUCCUCUGGUUGCGGUUGCGUCGUUUUCUUACCUGCUUAGAUUCUUCAAAGAUAUAGUUAGGGUCAGUAAAAUAACGGCGUACCUUCUCUGAGGGGAAGUGCAUAUGGACUUCUCCGGUUCCAAUGUAGAUGAUUGCUUUAACGGUGGUAAGGAACGGUCUUCCAAGGAUGAUGGGUGGAUCGUAUUCAUCUUCUCCCAUGUCAAUAACCUGAAAGUCUGUGUAGACAAAAUGAUCGUCUAUUUUGACUGGGACAUCAGUUACUGUUCCUUUAACUUCUCGAAAUGUCUGAUCUGCCAUCUGGAGCUGAAUGUGUGUUGGUUUUAGGGGCAUGGUUCCGAACAAGAGCCGUUAGGUGACUGCGGCCAUUAGCUGAAUGUGUGUUGGUUUUAGGGGCAUGGUUCCGAACAAGAGCCGAUAGGUGACUGCGGCCAUUAUGUUGACGCCCGAUCCGGUGUCACAAGUAGUCUUGUAGAAGUUGUAUCCAUUUAUGGAGCAAUAGAUGCUUGGCAUUCCUAGGUCGUCCUUCUUGGUCAAAAAUGGUGACUUAAGUUGAUGAUCUUGACCUCCAUGAACUGCAGUGACCAUCUUAGCUGACUCGGUCCACACUUGCUUGUUCCUGUUCCUCCUGUUGGUCCUCUUCCUUGAUUCACGUCUGGAUUGAUCUAGGAUUUGUGUAGUCUUGUUCUUGAAGAAAAACGUCUCCUUCUUCCCUUUGAUGUAGAAACUGAUCUUGGCAGCACUAGCGUAGAUGAUAGCUCCCGAGGUGUUCAAGAAUGGCCUCCCUAAGAUGAUGGGUGCUCUCUCAUCAUUACCGGUCUCUAUCACCACGAAGUCUGCUAGGGCAUACAAGGUACCAACUCGGACACAAAGGUUCUUCAAUAUUCCUUUGGGGAAACUUAAUGCCUGAUCUACAAACUGCAAACACAUGGUUGUUUCUAAUAAAGGAUAUGUAAAGAAUUUUUCAUAGAGUACCCUGGGUAUAAUGUUGACACUAGAGCCAAAGUCACA
rnacentral:lncRNA from 1 species